UCAUUUCCAUCUCUUCCGCAAGUGCAGUAUGCUGGCACGGAGCAGCCUUUCCCUUGGACGCUGGCAACUCGUGCCCCUGAGGCUGUGAAGCGUGGGUGUGGAGAGCGGUAACAGGAGUAGCUGGUCGUUGGUCCUGGAUACUCUGGAAGCCUGUAGCUGUGAGGGCUGCUGGCAAAGGAGAUGCUGGGAGGACCGUUCUGGUGCUGUUGAGACAAGAACUGAACAGAUUCGAAGUCUGGAGCGUGCAGAUGCACCAAUGCUGAGAAGUCUCUGCCUGUGUGUUUCUGAAGCAGUUUUUGUGGGACUAUAAAAUCCCAGUGCCCUGUGCUGCUGUCUCCCGGAGCUAUCUCCAAAUGGGUGGUAGCUGUCAUGUGAGCUGACAGCGCCCGCAGUUGAGAAGUAUGAUUAAGUGCUCUAAACUGCUCUGCUGAGUGAUCUGGAUCGCGUUGCUGAAGCCUUUGCCAGCUCCUGACAACCAGCAGCAGUUGUUGUGGGAGUGGAUUUGCUGGUAGUCCCAAAGGGUGCUUGUGGAGAGGUGAGGAGCUGAGCAGAGACAGGUAGUGUUUCAGGGGAGGGAGAGCAGUACAGCCCUCUGCUCCUCAGAAACAGUGUUUUGGAGACGGUUUUAUUUAUGCAAGAGUGCCCGUCAGAUCAGAUAUCCAGAACUCAGCUGAAUAGGGCAGCCAGCAACCUGAUCUAACUGUGAAGGUGGCCAGGGGGUUGGAUUAUUGACCUCCAGAGGUCCCUGCCAACAUCACUUAUCUUAGUGCUCCAUGGUGUGAGUACCAGGACUGACUGACAGCCCUGACCAUCACCUGGCAGUAAGAGUUGACAGGGUAAAAAGCUACUGUACCAUUUCA